rnacentral:rRNA from 1 species
AACCGACUAAUGUGGAAAAAUGAGCGGAUUACUGGUGGCUGGGGGUGAAAGGCCAAUCAAACUGGGAGAUAGCUGGUUCUCCCCGAAAGCUAUUUAGGUAGCGCCUCGUGAAUUCAUCUUCGGGGGUAGAGCACUGUUUCGGCUAGGGGGUCAUCCCGACUUACCAACCCGAUGCAAACUACGAAUACCGAAGAAUGUUAUCACGGGAGACACACGGCGGGUGCUAACGUCCGUCGUGAAGAGGGAAACAACCCAGACCGCCAGCUAAGGUCCCAAAGUCAUGGUUAAGUGGGAAACGAUGUGGGAAGGCACAGACAGCCAGGAUGUUGGCUUAGAAG